GCCGUGAUCGUAUAGUGUGGUUAGUACUCUGCUAGUUGGCAGCAACCGCAGCAACCCCGGUUCGAAUCCGGGUCACGGCA